GUUUGGCCAUGGACGCAGUCUGAUCAGCCAUGUCGCGUGAGUGAUGAAGGCCCUACGGGUUGUAAACUUCUUUUGUAAGGGAAUAAAGUGAAGUACGUGUACUGUUUUGCAUGUACCUUACCAAUAAGGAUCGGCUAACUCUGUGCCAGCAGCCGCGGUAAUGAU
rnacentral:rRNA from 1 species